UCCACACCCGUCGAUCCUAGCUGAAUCCCACGGUUAACAUAAUCUAAUCCCAUCCCCACUUUUCAUCAACAAAAAAGGAAGUAAAUCACGUUGCCCAGUCUCCCCACUAAUUUAUCCCUCUAAUCACUCCCCCAUCAUCUCUUUCUUCUCUGUUUCCUCGGACGCACCUCCGCCGAGCUCGCCGUCCACCCACACCACUCCCCGUCAUCUUGGAUUGAACGCCAGCCACCAAAGCAUAUCAUAAUCCCCUCGCUCCUCCCUCACCACGCCGCCCAGAUCCGCGAUGGCGCUCCUCCCUAAUCCAUCUUCCUCAUCUCCGGUGCGGCCCCGGGGCGACAUUACAGGUGCUCCAUCCCGACCUUAGGGGGCCGAGCCUCCCAUCUCCAUCUCGAUUGGGGCUUCGGCUGCCGGUGUAGCUAUCCAUCUUCAUCAUCCCCGAAGGAUAACCAGCAGUUUACAUCCCUCUGUUUCCCCCCUCUUCGAAGUGCCUCUCCUCAGAAUGGAAGGUACUGUACCACGACAAUCCACCCAACCCCUUCUUCCCCCAGUGUGUCACUAGCAUUUGUGCCCGCUUCCGGCUACUACCAAAUCGAUGUUUCGUAAUGUCCAUUUUGGCAUUUAGGUUUGUAAUGUGUACUCUGCCUGGUACUAACUGGUUCAUGUUUUCAUUGUGUGCGUAUUACUGUUCUGCUCUUCAUGUAUUAGGUCAGAUAAUAAUUAAAAACAAAAUUUGGGAUUGCAAUUUUUAUCUGCUUCCUAUAGAUGUACUAGCUUCCGGAGAUAUGCCUUCCCAUUUGGCGGCAAUAUUUGUUUUCGUUUCAAUAUCAAAUUUCCGAGCUUCCAAGUAAGACUACUGAUGCACCCAGUUCACAUUUUCAUGCUUCUGAUUACCAUGCAUCCACAUUAUACUUCCAAGUAACAACCCUUAUGUACCUAGUACACUUUUUUUCAUGUGUCUUACUCAUCGCACUUGCACAUUAAAUUCCUUUUGUUUCAUUCAGCUAAAUGUUUGCUUCCACUCAAACCACUUUGUUAAGGUUUACUAAGAAAGUACACUUCUAUUUUGAGGUACAGUGUUGACCCCCGCUAGACUAUUUUUUAGUGAGCUGAUUUGUGUUCAUACCUCGUGUUUUCUCAUUGAAUUAUGUGUGACUUUACUAAAUCAACUAUUAAUCUCGAUGUAAUUGUUGUUCUCAUCACAAAACUUUGCACUGUCAUAUUGGUAGCAAGAAUUAGUAACUCAUAGUUUGAAAAUCAUGUGCUUCGCAUUUGGAGAGCCAAUUUGUGUGCUUCCACUAUGUAAAGUUAUAUUCAGAGUGCAUGGAUAUAAUGCUUCCAAACAUCCAUGUUGCUUAGCGUUCACAAUAUUGCAACCAUGCUUCCAUUCUUUAAAUACUCUUGUCUUAUGUUGAGAUAUCAUGACACUCAUGCUUCCAAAUAUUCAUGCUUCAUCGGUAUCAUAUAUGUGCUUCUUUAAAAAUAGUUUGUGCCAAUAGUCCAUAGUCAGCUCACCAAAUUGUUUUUUUCUAUAAAUGGUUCAUUCCCAUUCAUGUUUCUGGCUAUAGUCACAUCAUCCUAUGUUCAUAUUAGCUAAUGGAUGUAUGUUUCCUGUAGUGUCAUCCAAUCAUGCUAGCAAUCGAAAUUUAUGCUUCCUCUAUGUCAUAUGUUUGUUGUGAUAAAAAGAAGCGAUUGCUUCCUAUCAGUCAUGCUUCCUACUUUUACUUGUGGCAUACGUUUCUAUGUUCAUAAUUUUUGCUUCCACCAUUGUGAGUGUGUGCUUCUUUUAUUCUACAUUCUGUUUUUACUACUAGUUUGUGCUUCAUCCAAUUGCUAGUGGUGCUUCCAUUAGUGAAGUUUUAUUGUACAAACAUUUUGCUUCUCUUACUAAAUACUCCAUAUUUCUCACUGAAUGCUUGUAUUGCACAGACAUUUUGCUACACGCAAUUCCAGCUAUGCUUCUCUGCUGUAUAACGCCCAAAAUGUUCGAGUGUUCUAUGAGCUACUCUAAGUUGUCGGUUGUACUAUGCAUGACGGAGAGCUCAUGGCGCACGCUGAUCUUGUCCAUGUCCAGCUUGUCGAGCUGCUGCCACUAUGACGGAUAUGAAAAACUGAAAUGUUUGGUUGUAAUACGAUUCUACUUUUGUUGUAAAAAAUGAAGGAAAUAUGCCCUAGAGGCAAUAAUAAAGUUGUUAUUUAUAUUUCCUUAUAUCAUGAUAAAUGUUUAUUAUUCAUGCUAGAAUUGUAUUAACCGGAAACUUAGAACAUGUGUGAAUACAUAGACAAAACAGAGUGUCCCUAGUAUGCGUCUACUUGACUAGCUCGUUAAUCAAAG
rnacentral:lncRNA from 1 species